UACGUAGGGUGCAAGCGUUGUCCGGAAUUGUUGGGCGUAAAGAGCUCGUAGGCGGUUUGUCGCGUCUGCUGUGAAAACUCGGGGCUUAACCCUGGGCCUGCAGUGGGUACGGGCAGACUAGAGUUCGGCAGGGGAGACUGGAAUUCCUGGUGUAGCGGUGAAAUGCGCAGAUAUCAGGAGGAACACCGGUGGCGAAGGCGGGUCUCUGGGCCGAUACUGACGCUGAGGAGCGAAAGCGUGGGGAGCGAACAGG
rnacentral:rRNA from 1 species